AUGUACCACUCGUACACUGCGGUUCCUGUGCGCCGUCCGCACCCGCCUGACGACUGCUCGCGACGUUUUGUUAGCC
rnacentral:sRNA from 11 species